rnacentral:misc_RNA from 1 species
GCAAAAAGGGCUGGCAUUGACAGUUUGGGUCCAAAACAAAGCGCUGAAUUAAGUCUUGUUGGUGCGGUGCCUUGUAGAAUUGCAUUUGAGAGGGGCAAAGAACGUCAUUUCCACUUUCUAGCCAUCACUAUAGGAACCUCUGGAUGGCUUAUCCUUGCUGAUGAAUUACCUGUGAGGCCAAGCUUUGGUGUGGUUCGUGUAGUUGCACCUCUGGGUGGUUGCAAUCCCAGAAUUGACGAGAAGCACAUGAGAUGGUUACACCUUCGAAUACGUCCAUCCUCUUUCCCUUGCACAGAUGGUGCAAAGCAUACGGCCCAUCCUAAAGUCAAGUCAAAAGCUUUGGUCGAUGGGCGGUGGACUCUGGCUUUUCGAGAUGAAGAUUCUUGCAAAGCUGCUUUUUCUAUGAUUGUUGAAGAGCUCAAGUUACUGAGCAGUGAGGUUGAGAGAAGAAUAAAACCUAUGCUUGUCAUUGAAAGAACUAUUGAUACUUCAACAAAAUAGAUUCAGGUCUCAUGAGUCA